rnacentral:rRNA from 1 species
AUACGGAGGGGGCUAGCGUUGUUCGGAAUUACUGGGCGUAAAGCGCGCGUAGGCGGAUUGAUCAGUCAGGGGUGAAAUCCCGAGGCUUAACCUCGGAACUGCCUUUGAUACUGUCAAUCUUGAGUUCGAGAGAGGUGAGUGGAAUUCCUAGUGUAGAGGUGAAAUUCGUAGAUAUUAGGAAGAACACCAGUGGCGAAGGCGGCUCACUGGCUCGAUACUGACGCUGAGGUGCGAAAGCGUGGGGAGCAAGCAGGAUUAGAUACCCUAGUAGUCC